rnacentral:rRNA from 1 species
GGCGCGCCUAACACAUGCAAGUCGAACGAGAAAGUCCGCAAGGAUGAGUAAAGUGGCGUACGGGUGAGUAACACGUGGAUCAUCUACCUUUUAGUGGGGAAUACCGUUGGGAAACCGACGACAAUACCGCAUAAUCCCGAGAGGGGAAAGCAGCAAUGCGCUGAAAGAGGAGUCCGCGGCUGAUUAGCUAGUUGGUAGGGUAAUGGCCUACCAAGGCAUCGAUCAGUAGCCGGCCUGAGAGGGCACACGGCCACACUGGCACUGAAACACGGGCCAGACUCCUACGGGAGGCAGCAGUGGGGAAUCUUGCACAAUGGGGGCAACCCUGAUGCAGCGACGCCGCGUGAGCGAUGAAGCCCUUCGGGGUGUAAAGCUCUUUCGGCAGGGAAGAUUAUGACGGUACCUGCAGAAGCAGCUGCGGCUAACUACAUGCCAGCAGCCGCGGUAAUACGUAGGCAGCAAGCGUUGUUCGGAGUUUACUGGGCGUAAAGGGUGUGUAGGCCGGUUCCCUAAGUUUUGGUGUGAAAUCUCCCGGCUUUAACCGGGAGGGUGCGCCGAAAACUGGGGAGCUAGAGUAUGGGAGAGGAAAGUGGAAUUCCUGGUUGUAC